UCCAGCUGGGAGGGGCGGGGCUUGAGUCUGAACUGUGGCCCCACCCACACGCCCCUCUCUGGAGAACAAUCCAAUCACAGCUGCAGAGGCAGAUGCUGGAAUGAAGGUGGGCCUACCUUGUGACUAAGAAACAGCUGCAGGAGAGAGAGGAGACACAGAGGAGACGCACAGUCAUAAAAGCACCAGAACCACUCAGACGUGUCCGACAACUGCCGGGUCGGACAGAACCGAGCAGAAACCAGAGUUUUUGGAGCAGACUUACCACAGCAGCCGGCUGAAGACUGUUUACUCCUUCUGGGUGACCUUUGAACUGCAGUCACAUGACCUGUCAGAUGACCUGCUGCUUCACAGGCAGCUCUGAUUGGGGGUCAACACUUCACAGGUUCUGGCCCCAGCCAGUUCUUUCAUCCGGAUCUCGCGGGCCUCGGCUCUCGCCGCUCGUUUCACCGCCAGUCUGGCCUCGGCCUGGACACACCCGUCAAUCAAAUAUGUCACUGAGCAAUGAUUGAAUGAUUACUGACACAAAGACAUGGAUCAAUACUCCUGUUGGUCUGAGCUGGAGGCGGAGCUACGCAGCUCAGCUGCAGGUAACCGAGUCAGAGUGAGCAGUACCUCCACCUGCCUGUAGAGAGCGAUCUUCUUCAAAGGUGGUGAACUCCUCUACCUACCAGGCUCCGCCCUCAGCCUCUCCCUCCUCUUGUGUGAUCACAUUUUCAUUUGAACUGGAACGGAUCUUAGCUUUGACGUUGGCCUCCUGGAAGGAAGAACUUUCUAGUUUCCUGGUUCGACUUCAUUUGACAUUUAAAACCCACUGCUGCUGAAAAUCCUAAACCCAUGCAAUACUGCUGCUGAAAAUCCUAAACCCACGCAAAACUGCUGCUGAAAAUCAUAAACCCACACACAACUGCUGCUGAAAAGCCUAAACCCAUGCACUACUGCUGCUGAAAAUCCUAAACCCACACACAACUGCUGCUGAAAAUCCUAAACCCAUGCACUACUGCUGCUGAAAAUCCUUAACCCACGCACUACUGCUGCUGAAAAUCCUAAACCCACGCAAAACUGCUGCUGAAAAUCAUAAACCCACACACAACUGCUGCUGAAAAGCCUAAACCCAUGCACUAAUGCUGCUGAAAAUCCUUACCCCACGCACUACUGCUGCUGAAAAUCAUAAACCCACACACAACUGCUGCUGAAAAGCCUAAACCCACGCAAAACUGCUGCUGAAAAUCAUAAACCCACACACAACUGCUGCUGAAAAUCCUUAACCCACGCACUACUGCUGCUGAAAAUCCUAAACCCAUGCAAAACUGCUGCUGAAAAUCAUAAACCCACACACAACUGCUGCUGAAAAGCCUAAACCCAUGCACUACUGCUGCUGAAAAUCCUAAACCCAUGCACUACUGCUGCUGAAAAUCCUAAACCCACGCAAAACUGCUGCUGAAAAUCCUAAACCCACACACAACUGCUGCUGAAAAGCCUAAACCCACGCACUACUGCUGCUGAAAAUCCUUAACCCACGCACUACUGCUGCUGAAAAUCCUUAACCCACACACUACUGCUGCUGAAAAUCCUUAACCCACACACAACUGCUGCUGAAAAUCCUAACCCAUACACUACUGCUGCUGAAAAUCCUUAACCCACACACUACUGCUGCUAAAAAAUCCUUAACCCACACACUACUGCUGCUGAAAAUCCUUAACCCACACACAACUGCUGCUGAAAA